rnacentral:rRNA from 1 species
GCGGGCGUCGUUUNUGUCGACGGUGCGUGUCGGACUUCACUGGCCGGUGCGCUCUCUGUCGGCGACGUUACUUUGAGGAAAUCAGAGUGCUCAAAGCAAGCGUUUGCUCGUGACUUCACUAGCAUGGAAUAACACAGAUGGGCUCUUUUUCGCAACGUUGGUCUGCGUCAACUGAGCAACGAUCGAUAGAGACGGUCGGGGGCAUUCGUAUUGCGCAGUUAGAGGUGAAAUUCUCCGAUCUGCGCAAGACGCACUAAUGCGAAAGCAGUUGCCAAGGACGUUCUCUUAUGAUCAAGAGCGAAAGUCGGGGGAUCAAAGAUGAUUAGAUACCGUCGUAGUCCCGACCAUAAAUGAUGCCAACUGAGCGUCGGCGACGCGGCUGUCAGCCGGACGUCGGCGCUCUUGAGAGAAAUUAAAGUCUUUGGGCUCCGGGGGUAGUAUGGUCGCAAGUCUGAAACUUGAAGGAAUUGACGGAAGGGCACCACAAGGCGUGGAUGUUGCGGCUUAAUUUGACUCAACACGGGAAAGCUUACUAGGUUUGGACACUUGAAUGAGGGACAUAUUGAAGCUCUUACCUUUUUUUGUGGAUGGUGGUGCAUGGUCGUUCUCAGCCCGUGGGUUGACCUGUCAGGUUUACUCCGGUAACGCGCGAGACCUCGGUUUGCUAAAUAGACACGGCUGUUUCGGCACCCGUGAUCUUCUUAGAGAGAGUCUUGACGAGAGUUGAGGGAAGUCGAGGCAAUAACAGAUCUGUGAUGCCCUUAGUUAUCCUAGGUCGCACGCGCCAUACAAUGUGGCGCACAACGAGUCUCCUAGGCCGACAGGAAUUCUCGUCGACGGCAGAUGCAUUGGUCCCGUGGGUUGGUGCAUCUACUUUUCGNAAGUGGAUCGCCGACGCGCGGUCGAUCUCGCGACGCUGUCGCGAGMACUUCUGGGCAAUCUUGCAGAGCGCUACGUGACUGGGCUAGACUUUUGUAAUUGUUGGUCUUGAACGAGGAAUGCCUAGUAAUCGCAGGUCAUUAUCCUGAGAUGAUUUGC